rnacentral:lncRNA from 1 species
CUUUGACAUAACAUUUGCAUAGAAGACAUACUUGGUUAAUGUAAAAUGCAUAGUUAUUUGAAGUGUGAAAAGCGGAUACAAAAGAUGUGGCUGAGUGCACUUCCUUCUCAUCCACCAAGCCAUACUUUGGACUAACUAUGGUUCCAAGCAGAGAGACCAGCAAUAGUGAAAUAGUAAAGGCUCAAAGCAGGACCUUGUGUGGCUCUUCCAGGAGCAGCAGAAGGCCAGCUUGGCUAGAACAUGAAGAAACAGAAAAUGAACAGAAAAUUUCUGGAACCGAAUCACUUCUAGAAAUAUUGGGAGUUUCUUGGAUAUUUAAGGUAUGCACUUCCAAUUCAUUGCUUGUCAUACACAAGAGCCUGGAAUUUGUCUGCUGAAUUCUUCAUGCAGUAACACAAGAAGAUACUAGUGGGCUCAGAGUGAGGCCAUGCAGUGUGUAUCAGAAGCCUUGACCUUGGAGUUUGCACAUGUGUGAAGAAUGAAACCACCCUUUCUCCAGUGGCGCAUCAGGCUUGGAAUGGUACACUGAAUAUUUUGGAGACAAACAUGAAGGAUAGAAGUCCACAGCCUCUCUUUUUCUCAAAUUCUUUUAUGCAAAUUUUUUUCUUAAUUUCUAUCAGUCCUCAUAGGUACUCAUUCAAAUAUGGAGUGGAAACAGGGAGAAUAUUCCCUAAUAACAAUAAUGAUUUUUUGUAUCUAGUAAGGUAAGGCAAAUUUGUAUUAGGCCACAUGUAUUAUACAUAAACAUUUGUGAGGAAGAUAUUAAAAUACUGCUCAGAGAAGGAACUCCAGAUUCAUGCUAGGAAUAUAACAAUCCUGAGAGAAAACUUCUAUAAGCAGUGUUUCUCAAUUUUUCUGUGGAUGUACAGUAGAAUUCCCUGAAGAGUUCUUACAUUCCUAAUGACCAGCCAUAUUCCGGACUAAUUAAAUCAGAAUCUUUGGGCAUGGGACCCAAGUAUCAGUGAUGUUUUGUUUUAAACCUCCCCAGCUCCUGCAUAGCCAAGAUGAGAACCAUUGAUUUAGAGAAAUUUAUUGACCAUUAGCCAUGUAGCAGUUAAUAAUCGGGCUAUGGGGCAGGAGAAAGCAGUUAAUAGUGUGGAUACUCCAAGCAGAUGAAACUGAAAAUAGAGAGGGCUGAGACUUAGAAAGGUGUAUUUAAAAGAUAAUAAGUUAAAUUAUUGCAGUGCAUUGCACAUUUUGGGUGAGGAGGGAGAAGUGUUGAGAAAAACAGCUAGACAGGCCCAGUAGAAUAUUUGGCAAGUCCUUGUUGCCAUGCUAAAAAGCUUGGCUUUUAUUCCUGAUUGUCCAGUGAAAAAUUGGAAUCUGGUUGCUGGGAAGUUACCAGAUUGGAUUUGCAUGUGAAAAGGAGCAUUUUGGCUGUUACUUGGAGAAUGAACUGGAGAGGAAACCAAACAAGACCAGUGAAGGGAAGAACAGUUAGUGCUCCAGAAAAAUGAUGAUGAGCCCAUGCCUAGGGAAAUGGAUUAGAAACAAGAGGUCUAACUGAUAUAUUAAGGAGGUUAAAUGAAUAGAGUUUGGAGAUGUAACCAUGAAGUACAUUUGUUAAAUCUCCUGAGGGGUGGAAUGUAAUUGACCAGUAGUCCUAGUUUCUAUUCCUGUAAUUCCAUCCCUUCAUUCAUGACAAAGCCAUGCUUUCCAUUUCCUGUUCCCAUCUAACAAAUGAGUAUGAGAAGAAUGAAUGUAAGCCAUUCUUAUAAGAUACACAACUCCUAUAGCUAGGCUUUGGCCUGGAACACCACAUUGGCAUGUUUGAAAUACUCUUGUCUUUCUACACAGUCUUCCUUCCUCACUGCCAUAGAUUGAAUUUUAGAGCUUCCCCACCUUAUGUUGAAAUUCUACUCCUCCUCCCCCUUAGCAUCUGUAGUUGGAAUUUUACAAAGUGUUAGGUUAUGAGGAUGAAGCCUUUAUUAAUGGGAUUUUUGCUCUUACCAAGGAGACCCUAGGAAGAUCCCUUGCUCCUUCAGCAGUGUGAACACAACAAGAAGAUGGCCAUUCAUCUAGGAGUCAAGAACCAACCUGUGACACCUUGAUGUGGGGUGUACCAGCCUCCUGAACUGUGAGAAAUAAAUAUUUGUUUGUUGUAGACACAGGCAGUUAGACUAUGUAUUCUGUUACAUCAGCUCAAGUACACUAGAAUUCUUUCUCUUCCACAUGUCAUGGCUGGAUUAUAGCCUAUAGUUUAUCCUAUCUACUUCUAAUUCUUUUCCCUGCCCCUUUAUCUUUCACAGGUUUUUCCCUCAAUAUUUUCUUGCAUAUCUCAACUUGUGUCAAUAUCUGCUUCUUAAGGGAUACAAAUCAAAAUGAUACCAAUUACAUAUAGAGAAUAAGGACCAAAGACCCUAAGAGGAUUUUCAGGUUGAUGUACAGAAAUAAAAUGAAUUCUCAUAACAAUUACAAGGGGUAUAAAAGGCUAGAAAGACAAGAUCAUCUGUGCAUGUAUUGUCUUUUCAGGAUUCUAGGACAUUCAGAUACAGAUUCCCAAGGGAACUGCAUAUUAUGAUUACAGAAUUCAGAGGACAGUUCAGAUAUACAGGUAUAAAUUUAAAUCACAUAUGUAAGUUGUAAGUUCUGCUGCAGCCAUGUACGAGGAGAAAAAUGAUACUGGAUACUAUGAGGAAAAAAAUUGAGCAUAAAAACUGGGAAAACUAUAAAGGAUACAGCAAAGAAGGCUGAGAUGACUAGAAUGGGAGGAAAACACACAGGUAUAUACAUAAAAUUAACUUCUUUGAAUAGUGAAGGGAAAAAUGUGAGUUAAGCUAAACAUUCCUCAAAUCAAAUAUGUUAGGAAAUAAAAUGAUUCAUUGAAUAUCAGGUAUGUUAGUCAAGUUAAGUAAGGGUUGUUUAAAUAGAGUGGCUGUUGAAAAUAACCAAGUGCAAAAUAUUUAAGAAGGAAUAGGAAGUCUGGAGGUUUGAUGUAGAAUACAUAUUACUUAGAAGAGCUAUGACUAGAAUGAGAAGAGAUAGGGGGGUAGUGGGAGAUUCUAGAGAUGUUUUUAUGUUUUACUUGAGUUGCGCAAGUCUUGAGAGGAUUCAGAAAGCAACAAGGAACCAGGACUUUAAAUGAAAGAUGAAAAUAAAUGACUUGCAAUUGUUUUGAAGAGAUAGGAGGGAAUUAUAUUAAGAACACAAGUGGCAGUGCUAACCUUGAGCAAGUGAUACUAUGACUUUCUUUCCUUUAAACCAGAUGGUCUUGGAGAAGAUAACUAAGUUUUCAAGGUGCUGAAGAGGAAAGCUGCAGCUCUGAAACUUACCUGCUAUGUUUUUGGCCCAAAGGCAAUUCUUCAUUAAGUCUUCAGUGUGCAGUGACCCUCUCUGGAUUCUAGUCUGCCUCCUAUUUCAAACUUUGCCACAGUAAGAGAGUUCAGAUAGCAAAGCCACAAAGUGUUAAUAUGAGAUAACCUGGGAGCUUCAGAGAGAGGAAAAGUAAGAAACUUCUUGAUUAGAGAUUGGAACAGGCAAUCAUGUAGAGAACAUUUGGUUGUGAAGAACCAACAGGCAGAGACUUUUCAGCCAUUAUGACAAGCUGCUUUCUUCACAGUUGCUAAGACAACUUCUUGGCUAAAAGAUUUGAAAGGCCUUUGCUGCUAGAUAGACCACUAGGUAAUCUGCUUCAUUGCUUAUUCAUUUAUUUUUCCACUCAUUCAUGUCCUCCAUAACUUAUUCAAUCAGCUCUUUAAGAAUGAUUUUAUUUUGAACAGUAUAAAAAAGUGUUUCCAAUAAUUUAAUGAAUGUUCAAAUUUCCUGGAAAUCUUACAGAAAAGUGGCUUCUAAUUCACAUACUGUAAUUUAACCAAGCUCUCAAUUGAUGAUGACGCCACUUCUGCACGGUAUGAGAAAUGGAACUAAUUUCAUUUCUCUUUUUCCUAAAUUAGUGGUUCUCAAGCUUGUUAGAAAAAUGCAAAUUCUUUGACUCAGGCCAAACUUACUGAAUCUUAGAGUGAGAUCCAGUAUCUCAUAUGUUAUCAAGACCUCCCAUAGAGGUGAUGCAUAUUCACAUUUCAGAACCAGGAAGUGUAGACUCACUUGGAGAGUUUGGAGGUUAAAUUGUGUUCUGAAAAAAAGAUGUGUUAAAGUGCUAAACUUAAAGAUACCUGUGAACAUGCUAUUGUUUGGAAGUAGAAACUGCAGAUAUAAUCAAGCUAAGAUGAGUUCAUACUGAAUAAAGGUGGCUCCUAUAUCCAAUGACUGUUGUCUUUGCAAGGACAAUGGGAUUUUGAUAGACACAGAUGUCUUGAGAUAUGAAGAAGUUCAUGUGACAAAGGAGGCAUAAACUGGAGUGAUGGUGGUCUAAAUGAGGGAAUGCUAAGGAUUGCUAGCCACCACCAGGAGUUGAGAAAGAAGCAUGAGUCUUCCCCACAGACUCUUGAGUGAAUAGAAACCUACCAAAACCAUUAAUUUAGAUGUUUAACCUUCAAAAUUGUGACACAAUACAUUUCAGUUAUUUUUAAAGAAAUAAAUUUGAGGUAGUUUGUCAUGGCAGCCCAGGAAACUAAUAUAGACCUUUGCAAAACUAAACUAAACCAAAACAAAACAAAACACCAUGGUGCUUACUCAAUCAAAUCAGAAUUCCUGAGGAUAGUGUCCCUAUGUGUGAUUUAGAAAUCUCCCUCAGGGAAUUUCAACAUUUAGUCAAAAUAUACAACUCUACACAUUUUUAGACAUGGUUAGACUGUUUAUAGUCUAUUUUGCAAUAAAUCAAAGUGCCAGAAGCAGUUGAAUAUCAUUAUAAUUACGUCUAUGUUUUGUAUAAAAAUCAGUUACUUAGGAAUUAUAUUAUGACAGUAUUUCUCAGACUUUUCUUAGGGUUGGAGUCACCUGCAGUUAAUGUUUAGUAGAAAUGCAGAAUCCUGGGACCACCCUAGCCCUAGUGAGUCAAAGACAGCAUUUAAACAAUUUCCUUGGGUAAUUUAAGUGUACAUUAAAGUUGAAAAGUAUUGUCCUUGGCUGAGGAUUUAGCUCAGUGGUUCUGCUGCCUGCCUCGAAAACGCAAGGACCUGAGUUCAAUCCCUGGAACCAAAAAAAAAAUACUGUCCUUACAGCAGUAAGAUACCCAUGAGAAGAUUUGAGUGUGAUAAAGUUAUGUGUGAAAAUGCUUAGCUUAAUGGGGAUAUUUAGAAUGAAUUGGAAGGUUUACAGAGCUUUCCCCCCAAAAAAUAAAAUUCUGCAGUGAUGGAAAUGGUCUGUAACUGGGCUGUUUAACAUAGUAGUCACCAGAAGCAAAUGGCUAAGGAGCACUUAAGAAGUGUCUACUGUGAGAGACUGAAUUUUUAAAAAACUGAAUUUUAACUCUUUAAGUUGGCAUGUAAGCAGUCACAUGUGGCUCUUGUUUACGGAUUGGACACCACAGGCUGAAAGGCUAGAUGUGAAGGUGAAUUAGGCAGCAUCUGUGGGGCGGAGAGUGAGCUGACUGCACCCGUGGGGAUGAUAUUAUUAGAUGGUAUAAAAAAACAGCAUUUGCACAUGGUCCAGAAAAAAAACCAGGCAAUUCAAUUAUUUUCUUGAAUGAAGAAAUGAAAUAAUGAGUUAAUGAUUGACUAUUUUUGCCUUCCAUCAACUUUUAAUUAUAAACAAUCUGAUCAUCCUAUUUAGUGUUUACCUAGUGUAUAUGCUCACAUCUAGUGUCUCUUUCAUUGCCAUUUUUCUAUUUGCAUUGUUUGACUCAUCUUCACUUAACAGGGAUCCAUCAAAACAAUAAAUACAAUUUCCACAGGAUCUAAUAGGUGAAGAAAAGAUACACCGUUAUUCGGCUACAGCUUUUAUUUGGGUAUGUGCAAUUGAUUUCGAGAGUGUGUUGCUCUCCAGAUUCAUUCCCUUUCUCCCUAGCUGGGCCUGGUGGUUUAUGGCUUAAUCCCAGCACUCUGGAAGACAGAGGUAGGAGCAUCACAAGUUUGAGCUCAGCUUGCACAAGUUAGCAAUUUAGUGAGACCUGAGACCUUGUCUCAAAGUACAACUUAGAAAGAGCUGGGGAUGGUGGCAGGAAGGGACGGAGACUCUGAUCUGUGCACAGGAAGAAAGCAGUGAUAUUGAGGCAAGAACAGUGAUGAAAACCAGAUUUGGGAGGUAAUCAGAAAGAAAAACUCACAGGACCAAAAUCCAGCACCAGGGUAUUUUAGAAAGGGAAGCCAACUGCUCCUGGCUUGAGGCAUCUUUUACCAGAUACAACAUAGGCACCAUUUUGGGAGAGGCUCAGGCUCUUGAGGGAGGAAGCUAGAUUUCUGCAGCUGCCUGGCAAAUGCACUAGGCUCCUAAUCACUCUUCCCUCCACUGGAAAGAGAAAGACAGCCAAUGAGAUACCCACAAGCAGGACAUCAGAAAAACUGAAAUCUGGAGAACAGUGUACUUAAGUGUAUGUAAAUUUACUUGUAACCUUGGGAAUUCGAAAAUAAUUGGGCCCCUCUGAUUAGGAACUCAAAUCUGAGAAAACCAGAGGUGGGGAGGUUGUACAAGUAAGCAGUGUCUGGGAGUGGUGGGACUCUGGGGAAAGAGGCUAGACUGACUCAGAGAUAAUUACUCCCCCAUUCCUUCCCCAUAUACCUGGAAUAUUGUGUUUAUGGGACAUCUUGCACUCUGCCCACACCUGCUGGCAGGUGCCCACAGGAGAACCCCACCACACCCCGACAGGGAAUGCUAAAUCAAGGAGGUCUGAGACUUUAUUAAUACACAAGGUGGGGUGACACUUUGGGGAGAGGAACUGGAAAACAACAGAGGGCAUCUGGGGACAUGCUAUGUGGAAGAGUUCUGGAAGGAACAUACAGAGGUGACCACAGAAUUUCUCCUGCAGGGAAAGAAGAGGUGAGCAAGAGAGAUCUGGUGAAAGUCCAUGGAGAAUCAGGUGCCGGGCCAAUUACACUACUGCUCCCUCCCCUCCUGCAGUUAACUGAGGUGGUUGGAUCUUGGGAAAGAGGAUAGAUGCUCCUUCAAUCUGGAAUGCCUUCUGCCUCUGCCUUCCACUGUCUUCCUGGUGAAUCCAAGACACAGC